UCACCUUUUUAAAUUUUUAAUAUUUAAAACUAUAUUUAUCUAAUUAAUUUUAAAUUAAUAAUAUUUGAAUUUUAAUAUUAUUAAUUUAAAUAUUAAUAAUAUUUAAAUUAAUAAUAUUAUUAGUUUAAAUAAUAUUAUUAAUAAUAUUAUUCUUAGUAGGUGGAACUACUUUGGGAAGCUCUCUGGUGAGAGUAGUCCUAUUGCCUUUGACAGUAGGGGUUCG
rnacentral:lncRNA from 1 species